rnacentral:rRNA from 1 species
UACGGAGGAUGCGAGCGUUAUCCGGAUUUAUUGGGUUUAAAGGGUGCGUAGGCGGAUGUAUAAGUCAGUGGUGAAAGACUGUUGCUUAACGAUAGCAUUGCCAAUGAUACUGUAUAUCUUGAGUAUAGUUGAGGUAGGCGGAAUGUGUAGUGUAGCGGUGAAAUGCUUAGAUAUUACACAGAACACCGAUUGCGAAGGCAGCUUACUAAACUACAACUGACGCUGAGGCACGAAAGCGUGGGGAU